CCACCUCCGCAGGCUGUUGGGUCCCCAGGGUGGGCUGGGCGAGUGCCUCUUUGAAAGGCUCCCCUUCACGCACGACUGGGAGC
rnacentral:pre_miRNA from 1 species